UACGUAGGGUGCAAGCGUUAAUCGGAAUUACUGGGCGUAAAGCGUGCGCAGGCGGUGAUGUAAGACAGAUGUGAACAUCCCCGGGCUCAACCUGGGAACUGCAUUUGUGACUGCAUCGCUAGAGUACGGCAGAGGGGGAUGGAAUUCCGCGUGUAGCAGUGAAAUGCGUAGAUAUGCGGAGGAACACCGAUGGCGAAGGCAAUCCCCUGGGCCUGUACUGACGCUCAUGCACGAAAGCGUGGGGAGCAAACAGG
rnacentral:rRNA from 1 species